CCUACGGGGGACUGCAGUCGGGAAUAUUGCGCAAUGGAGGAAACUCUGACGCAGUGACGCCGCGUAUAGGAAGAAGGUUUUCGGAAUGUAAACUUUUUUCGGUCGGGAAGAGAAAGGACAGUACCUUAGGCGGAAGCUCCGGCUAACUACGGGCCAGCAGCCGCGGUAAUACGGAGGGAGCGAGCGUUAUCCGGAAUUAUUGGGUGUAAAGGGUGCGGAUACGGGAAAACAAGUUAGUUGUGAAAUCCCUCGGCUUAACUGAGGAACUGCAACUAAAACUAUUGUUCUUGAGUGCAGGAGAGGUAAGUGGAAUUCCUAGUGUAGCGGUGAAAUGCGUAGAUAUUACGAGGAACACCAGUGGCGAAGGCGACUUACUGGACUGUAACUGACGUUGAGGCACGAAAGUGUGGGGAGCAAACAGGAUUAGAUACCCUGGUAGUC
rnacentral:rRNA from 1 species